rnacentral:rRNA from 1 species
AUUGAACGCUGGCGGCAGGCCUAACACAUGCAAGUCGAACGAGUGGCGGACGGGUGAGUAAUGUCUGGGAAACUGCCUGAUGGAGGGGGUUAACUACUGGAAACGGUAGCUAAUACCGCAUACCAUUGGAUGUGCCCAGGUGUGAUUGGCCAGUGGGUGGGGUAAAGGCUCACCUAGGCGACGAUCCCUAGCUGGUCUGAGAGGAUGACCAGCCACACUGGAACUGAGACACGGUCCAGACUCCUACGAGAGACAGCAGUGGGGAAUAUUGCACAAUGGGCGCAAUCCUGAUGCAGCCAUACCGCGUGUAUGAAGAAGGCCGUCGGGUUGUAAAAUACAUUCAGCAGGGAGGCGUUACCCGAUGAAUAAGCACCGGCUAACUCCGUGCCAGCAGCCGCGGUAAUUC